AAGGGACAGGGAGGUAGAUUUCUGUAAAUCUGACAAAGGCUGUGAAUGAAGCUGUUCAUGGAUAUAGCUCCUGUGAAUUCUUCAUAUGGAAAGAAAUGUAAGUAUGUACUGUAAUAUAUCUCUUUUUCUGAGUAUGUUACUUCAGUCUAGAUGUCUUUUAUUUUACAGAUUGUGGACUAUUCAGCUUUUUCAGGUUAAUGAGGAUGGAGGUGGCUGUAGUAGGUUUGCUGCUGGAGGUAUGGAUUGACUCUUCUGAUGAUGUGCAGAAGAGUGUGUUUUAUUUACUUGGGUGUUUUUGUGUUUUACAGGUUGCUUUUGUUCAUUUGAGGAGAGUCUUGCCAUGGAAAAAGUAUUGGGGUUGCUUGUGCUUAGGGUGGGAAUGAAGGCUUAGAUUGAUUUCAAUGUGUAUAAAUAUGCUGUCUCAACCUUUAUGUCUCUUUAACAGGUUGUGCCCUGGUGUGGGAAGUUCAACAGCAAAAAUCUUUGACUCUGGAGAUAGAUUUUGGCAAAUCGACCCUUUGUAGGUGAAUGUGGAUCCUGGUGCAAAAAAGAUCUCCCUCUUAGAAGCUCACCUACUGUAUAUUUUUGUUUUGUAGGUUGGACUCUUGUUCAGGUAUUGUACUGCCAGAGAGGAGAAUCUUCACUUUUGACAGCUGAUUGAACUGCUAAAUAUUCUGCAAUAUAUGCAAUUCCUAAGCUUUUCAUGGAAGGUUUUUUUACUGCUUAUACUUGCAAGUAGGUGACUUUGUUGAAAUGUGAUAGUGUCCUUCUACCUGGGCAUUUUUGUAUUACAGGUUAGGCCCAUGGACUGCUGAAGUUUGCGAUAGGUGAGUAAAAUACUAGGUGUGCAUUAAUAGUGAUUCUUCAGCCUAGUCAUUUUAUUAUUUUACAGGUGUCCAUGUUUUGGGAAAUGCCUAGUCACUAUGGGCUUCAGCCUGGAGGUUUCUUAUGGUAGGUAUGAAUGGAAAUACUGUUUCAUGUCAUUCUUCAGCAUGGGCAUCUUUGUUUUACAGGUUGGGAGGAUGUGAUGGAAAACAGCAGAGUUUGGAAAUAUCGUACUGCUAACACUUGUGGUUGGUGAGUAGAAAAAUAGAUGAGCAUGGAUAGUGCUUUUCUUCAACCAUUGAAUCUUUUUAUUUUACAGGUUUUCCUAUUUUGGAAAUCUGGACAUCUAGCCACUAUGAUACUUCAGCCUAGCAGUUUAUUUCAGAGCCUUUCUGUUACGGUAGGUAUGGAUAAACAAAUUCAGUUUGGCAUUGCCAUUUUUCAGCAUGGGCAUCUUUGUUUUACAGGUUGGGAAUUUUUGAGGGAAAGGCACCAGCCAUUUCAGAAAACCCUGUACUAUUGAAGCCUGUGAUUAAUUGGUGAGUAGAAGAAUAGACAUGCAUGGGUUAUACUGGUUCUUCAAUCUGGGUAUCUUUUUAUUUUACAGGUUUUCCUCUUUUGGGAAACAUCAAGCAACUAUAAAACUUCAGUCUGGCAGUUUAUUUGGGAUCCUGUUUCUUGUGGUAGGUACGGAUGAACAAAUUUAAUCUGACAUUUUUACUUCAGCAUGGGUAUUUUUGUUUUACAGGUUGGGACAUUGUGAGGGAGGAGAUAGCAGCAGAGUUAGGAAACUCUGUACUGCUAGCACUCUUAAUUGGUGAGUAGAAGAAUAGGCAUGCAUGGGUUAUAGUGGUUCUUUAACUUGGGUAUCUUUUCAUUUUACAGGUUUUCCUCUUUUGGGAAACAUCUAGCCACUAUGGUACUUCAGCCUGGGAGUUUGUGUUCCUGUUUCUUGUGGUAGGUAAAGAUAAACAAAUUCAAUUUGAGAUACUCCCUUCAGCAUAGGCAUCUUUGUUUUACAGGUUGGGACAUUGUGAGGGAAAGGCUAGUAGCAGAGUCAGGAAACCUCGUACUGCUAAAGCUUUUGAUUGCCACUAUAGGAUUUCAGCCUGGCAGUUUAUUUGGGAUCCUGUUUCUUGUGGUUUUCCUGGUUGGAUAUUGUCUAGCCACUACAGUUGUAUUGGGAACCUGUUUCUUGUGGUAGGUAUAGAUAAACAAAUUCAGUUUGGAAUUAUUCAGCAUGGGCAUCUUUGUUUUACAGGUUGGAACAAGACAACCAGCCACGUUGAAAAACCAUGUACUGCUGAAGCCUGUGAUUGGUGAGUAGAAAAAUAGGCAUGCAUGGGUUAUACUGGUUCUUCAACUUGGUUAUCUUUUUAUUUUACAGUAUUUCCCAUUUUGGGAUGCAUCUAGCUACUAUGGUACUCAAACCUGGCAGUUUAUUUGGGAUCCUGUUUCUUGUGGUAGGUAUGGAUGAACAAAUUCUGUUUGGCAUUGUCAUUUUUUUAACAGGCUAAAAGCAUAGGCAGGUAAACUUGGACUGCUAAAGCUUGUGACAGAUAGGUGUGUAGAAAAAAAGUUAUUCAUGAAGAAGUGAUUAUUCGGCCUGGGAUUUUUUAAAAUCUUAUUAGGUUUUCCUGUUUUCUGUAGUACUGUAGCUUUGCAUGUGCUUUACAGAUAGGGACGUUGGGAAAUACCCAGAAUUGGUUGAGCUUCGGCAGGGGAGUGGGGAUGCUGGUGCUUUUUGGUGAGGUGUGAGAUAAGGGAUAGAUUGACUACACUGGAUGUGAGUGUGCAUUGCUUUAGCCUGGGCUAUUUUGUUUUAAAGAGGAAAAUAACAAUCUUAUAUUCCAGUUUAAG